CAGGUUAAAUUGAGGAUUUUGAUAGUACCAAAAUUAAUAAGUCAUAAUCCACCAAUCCAUAGUUUUAUACCAGCCUCUGUCUAUUUAAGGUCAAUUUGGAAAAGUUUUCAAGCAACUACUCUAAACCUAACCCCCUUUUUCAUUUUGUUAUUUGGUUAGUGUUUAACUAAAUAAGUUUAUAAUAUAAGCAUUAAGACUAUCUAAAAAAGCAUCCCCCCAGCACCCCCCCAAGAAAACCCACACUAAUUUAGGUUAAAAACAAAGUAAUGGCAGCAAAAGUGUCUUUAAGUUUUGCAAUAAUCCUUCCAGUACUUUUGCAUCCCAAAAGGCUCCAGAUGUGACCAGCCACUGCAAAAUGGAGAAAAAAAGUCCUGAACACUUCCACGUGGUGUUUGUUACAAGCCAUUUAUGGUCGGCCAUGCUUCCUUCUCCAGCCUCAUCGUUUUCUGCUCUUCCCCUCCUCACCCCAGGGAACUGUGAACUGUCACCUGGGUCAGGCUGUGCUGCCUGUCCCCCUGGGCUUUGGACCUGCUGCUUCCUUGCUGGAAUGCUGCCUCGGCCCUCCGGCUCCCCCAACACCAGUCAUCUGGCAGGCUGCUGCUAAUAUCACUUUCUGUGGAAAGCCUUCCCAGACCUUCCUCCCUCAGAACUGGAUGGGCUGACUCUUUCACAUCAACCAAUAUAUACCCCAAUAUCACACUGAAGACUUGGUGUUGAAAUGCCUGUUUUCUUGCCCUUCUUCCCCACUCAACAGGGAGCUCACUGAGGGCAGACAUCAGGUCUUUCUCACUGGUGUAGCCCCAGCUUCUAGCCCAUUGCCUGGCUCAUAAAAGACCC
rnacentral:lncRNA from 1 species